UGUAUUAAAUUGCAGCAAAAAGAUCAACGUUUCGACCUUUAUCAAGAUGAAUAAAGACCGAAAGGUCGAAACGUUGAUCUUUUUGCUGCAAUUUAAUACAGUAAUUU